rnacentral:rRNA from 1 species
UAGGGAAUCUUCCACAAUGGGCGAAAGCCUGAUGGAGCAACGCCGCGUGUGUGAUGAAGGCUUUCGGGUCGUAAAGCACUGUUGUAUGGGAAGAACAGCUAGAAUAGGAAAUGAUUUUAGUUUGACGGCACCAUACCAGAAAGGGACGGCUAAAUACGUACCAG